rnacentral:rRNA from 1 species
GUGGGGAAUUUUGGACAAUGGGCGCAAGCCUGAUCCAGCAAUGCCGCGUGCAGGAAGAAGGCCUUCGGGUUGUAAACUGCUUUUGUACGGAACGAAACGGUCCGGGUUAAUACCCUGGGCUAAUGACGGUACCGUAAGAAUAAGCACCGGCUAACUACGUGCCAGCAGCCGCGGUAAUACGUAGGGUGCAAGCGUUAAUCGGAAUUACUGGGCGUAAAGCGUGCGCAGGCGGUUUUGUAAGACAGGAGUGAAAUCCCCGGGCUCAACCUGGGAAUUGCGCUUGUGACUGCAAGGCUGGAGUGCGGCAGAGGGGGAUGGAAUUCCGCGUGUAGCAGUGAAAUGCGUAGAUAUGCGGAGGAACACCGAUGGCGAAGGCAAUCCCCUGGGCCUGCACUGACGCUCAUGCACGAAAGCGUGGGGAGCAAACAGGAUUAGAAACCCCGGUAGUCC